UUUUGGUUUAAUUAUGAGACAAUUUUGGACCACAAAAAGACAGAAAAUUCCGUACUCCACAACAAAGAUCUUAGCUGGACACAAUGAUAGAGUGAUUGUUUCGACCAACAUAUAAAAGGAUUGAGUGAACUAAUCAAAGGCAUUGAAUCCAAAAUUCAGUGAAUAAGAUAGAAUUUGCAGACGCUAUUUGCAGACCCAUGUAAUCUAUUUACAGAGCUUGUUGGCAAAAAUCGGCACUCACUACAUUCUCAUGGUUUUGCUCGAUAUAUCGGAUUCGGGUGGGAAAUCAACAGCUGAUCAAUUCUCGUUGAUCUUUUGCGUCGAUUUGCGAUUGAUCAAGUUUUCCGGCCUGUCAUCGAGGGAUUUAUACAAACUUACGGGGACAAAACAACAUAUAAUCAACUCUCGUUGAUCCUCCGAUCAAUUUCUCGUUGAUCCUCCGAUCAAUUUCUCUUUGAUCUAUAUAAUCAACUCUCGUUGAUCCUAAUCUAAUCAACUCUCGUUGAUCUUAUCGAUUCAACUCCUCGUUGAUCCUAUCUAAUCAAACCCUCGUUGAUCUCUCGAAUCUACAUUGUUUUCAGGACUGUCAGCGAGGUAUCAAUAUAAGAGCAGGGAAAAAAACAACAUCGGAUCAAUUCUAGUUGAUCUUACUAUCAACCCCUCGUUGAUGUUACUAUCAACUCUCGUUGAUCUAGUUAUCAUCUCUCCAUGAUGUUCCAAUCAACUCCAUAGAUUGAACACUUACAGGUUUUUGUUUAGGCUUUCAAACUGAAAAGAAACAGAUGUAGAAUUGUAAAUAGGGAGAGGGAUAGAGUGUAUAUGACCUUUGCCAUGACAGGUGCGCUUGCUUGGCAGGUCACCAACCCUAAAUAAAUUUUUUGGUUUCGUGGAGGGAUGAGGGAUGGCACGGGAUUGGUUAAUAAUAAACUUUCUUGGCCCGGCUCUCUCUCCCUCCGAAUGUGUGUCUUGUUUCAUAUGCUUCUUGCAUACCACAAAGAGGAUGACAGAGCCCAGUAUUGAGUCAUCUAUCACUUGAGCUUAUUGUUUCUUGUGCUCUCAAAUAUGGUUCCUGCAUAUUUGCCAUUAGUGCAAACCAGGAAUGGAAUCACAGACUCUAUAUGGAGCAUCACUUGUGCUAUUAAAUAUGCUUCUUGCAAGUGCUAUCAUCGAAGAGAAUCACAGACUAGACAUUGAGUUUCUAAUGACCAAGGUACUGAUUAUGUUUUCUUAACCUGUAGAGAUGUUUGAUCUGUUCGGUCAAUUUUUUUCAGAAACAGCGUGAGCAUGGUACGUUAUAGUCGCAUUCCAAGUAGUACAAUGGAAUAUAGUACUACCUGAAAAGUUUUUAGGAGGUUGGUCCCUGUAACUGUGGAAUUGCACGGAUUGUUGGUAAAAACUAUCUUCUAAUCGUAAGGUUUUGUCUGAAUGUUACUUGUUCUAAUUACUUGUACUAUCCACAAAGUAGGAAAGGGAAUCAAUCAGCUCAAAUGUGGAAGAACAAUCUGCAAGAACGAAUAGGAAUGUUUAAGGUUGUUGUACAACCUCUGAUAUAGAUCUUUUUAUAUUCUAGAUAAAGUGCAACCUUUUGCUUUUCUUGAUUCUCUUAAGAGCAGAAAAUUAUGGAAAGCUUGUAGACUUGUUGGCCUAGAUCUUGGAAAAGAAAGAUUGGUGUACUGACAGGCCCUGGAGAGCGCAUGAACGGUGGAAAAUGUGAAGGGAAGGACUGGAAGAGGAGGAGAUAAACAGUAACGUCGGUGAGAGUGGAAGAUAAAUAAACUUUUUGUAUCUUGUGGGUGAUGAGUGAGUCUGCCACUCAAUAAUCAAUCAGUACAACGUGUGUAUUCAUUCAUGGUUAAGAGGAAUAAGAAUUAGGGUUUUAGUUGUAAGCAACGUGUGUAUUCAUUCUGGUUUAUUGUAGGUUGUGUUAAACAUGUAAAAAGAUCGCUUCAAUCUAAAAGGAUUUUAGUUGCUAA